UGCACACAUGACUGUAAAGUUGCUUUGGGUAAAAGCGUCUGCUAAAUGGCACAUA
rfam:Salmo salar isolate Sally breed double haploid chromosome ssa11, whole genome shotgun sequence.